GCCUACAUAGCUCAGUUGGUUAGAGCACCUGACUGUUAAUCAGGGGGUCCUAGGUUCGAGUCCUAGUGUGGGCG
rfam:Tenericutes bacterium RIFOXYB2_FTLL_36_25 rifoxyb2_full_scaffold_49, whole genome shotgun sequence.